UAGGGAAUCUUCGGCAAUGGGGGGAACCCUGACCGAGCAACGCCGCGUGAGUGAAGAAGGUUUUCGGAUCGUAAAGCUCUGUUGUUAAGGAAGAACGAGUGUGAGAAUGGAAAGUUCAUGCUGUGACGGUACUUAACCAGAAAGGGACGGCUAACUACGUGCCAGCAGCCGCGGUAAUACGUAGGUCCCGAGCGUUGUCCGGAUUUAUUGGGCGUAAAGCGAGCGCAGGCGGUUAGAAAAGUCUGAAGUGAAAGGCAGUGGCUCAACCAUUGUAGGCUUUGGAAACUGUUUAACUUGAGUGCAGAAGGGGAGAGUGGAAUUCCAUGUGUAGCGGUGAAAUACGUAGAUAUAUGGAGAAACACCGGUGGCGAAAGCGGCUCUCUGGUCUGUAACUGACGCUGAGGCUCGAAAGCGUGGGGAGCGAACAGG
rnacentral:rRNA from 1 species